GACGAACGCUGGCGGCGUGCUUAACACAUGCAAGUCGAACGGAAAGGCCCUGCUUGCAGGGUACUCGAGUGGCGAACGGGUGAGUAACACGUGGGUGAUCUGCCCUGCACUUCGGGAUAAGCCUGGGAAACUGGGUCUAAUACCGGAUAGGAGCCAUUUUUAGUGUGAUGGUUGGAAAGUUUUUUCGGUGUAGGAUGAGCUCGCGGCCUAUCAGCUUGUUGGUGGGGUAAUGGCCUACCAAGGCGGCGACGGGUAGCCGGCCUGAGAGGGUGGACGGCCACAUUGGGACUGAGAUACGGCCCAGACUCCUACGGGAGGCAGCAGUGGGGAAUAUUGCACAAUGGGCGCAAGCCUGAUGCAGCGACGCCGCGUGGGGGAUGACGGCCUUCGGGUUGGAAACUCGUUUCGCUAGGGACGAAGCUUUUUGUGACGGUACCUAGAUAAGAAGCACCGGCUAACUACGUG
rnacentral:rRNA from 1 species